CCUACGGGAGGCAGCAGUGGGGAAUAUUGCACAAUGGGGGAAACCCUGAUGCAGCAACGCCGCGUGAAGGAAGACGGUUUUCGGAUUGUAAACUUCUGUUCUUAGUGAAGAAUAAUGAUGGUAGCUAAGGAGCAAGCCACGGCCAACUACGUGCCAGCAGCCGCGGUAAUACGUAGGUGGCAAGCGUUGUCCGGAAUGACUGGGUGGAAAGGGAGCGCAGGUGGGAAGCCAAGUCAGUUGUGAAGACUACGGGCUAAACUUGUGGACUGCAGUUGAUACUGGUUUUCUUGAGUGAAGUAGGGGUUGGCGGAAUUCCGGGUGUAGCGGUGGAAUGCGUAGAUAUUAGGAGGAACACCGGUGGCGAAGGCGGCCAACUGGGCUUUAACUGACGCUGAGGCUCGAAAGUGUGGGGAGCAAACAGGAUUAGAUACCCGAGUAGUC
rnacentral:rRNA from 1 species